GUGGGGAAUUUUGGACAAUGGGCGCAAGCCUGAUCCAGCAAUGCCGCGUGCAGGAAGAAGGCCUUCGGGUUGUAAACUGCUUUUGUACGGAACGAAACGGUCCUGGCUAAUAUCCGGGGCUAAUGACGGUACCGUAAGAAUAAGCACCGGCUAACUACGUGCCAGCAGCCGCGGUAAUACGUAGGGUGCGAGCGUUAAUCGGAAUUACUGGGCGUAAGCGUGCGCAGGCGGUGCUGUAAGACAGGCGUGAAAUCCCCGGGCUCAACCUGGGAAUUGCGCUUGUGACUGCAGUGCUGGAGUGCGGCAGAGGGGGAUGGAAUUCCGCGUGUAGCAGUGAAAUGCGUAGAUAUGCGGAGGAACACCGAUGGCGAAGGCAAUCCCCUGGGCCUGCACUGACGCUCAUGCACGAAAGCGUGGGGAGCAAACAGGAUUAGAUACCCGAGUAGUCC
rnacentral:rRNA from 1 species